GUGAAAUUAUCAUCUCGCAGCUGGCAUGCUCCCAUGAAAUGAGGUCAGAUGGCAACAGGGUGCCCUCUUGGGAUACAGUGUUUUGAAUUCCCCCAGUGAGCUGGCUUGGCCCACUCUCUGUCCUGGAUUGUGUAAACACUGUGGUUUUUUCCACUCAGACUAGAACAAACAUCUGACCAUCAGUCCAGCGUUGCUGCCGGGGCUUCCUGGCAGACCACUUCAUCUCCCUCCACUUUGGGCAGAGGAGCUUGUGUCGUCGGUCAUGUCUGUUAUGUGCAUAAGUGUCCCAUUUCCAGCUGACUGGAGUUAACCCAACGGCUGUCACAGAGCAGCGCCAGCCUCUUGUAAUACCACACUCAGCCUGCCUGCCUGAAGGUAUAAACCUACCUGGACUGAAUUAAUCUACUGACAAGGACAAACGAACAUAUAUGCAUUUAGCAAGGCAGUUAUAUGAUACAACACCUGCUUUAAUCACGUGGAUCGGUAUGUGUCAGUUUUAAAUUAAAAGUAUCGCUCCUACACAUGCACCCAUAUUCAUAUUCGCAUGAACCGUCACUGCCAAGUCCUUAAUUCUGCAGUAACCGAUACAUUCCUUUGCCAUGUGUGAGGAGGUUCUUCAUCUGUCAAUUGACUGAUAGGGACUCUCGAAGAGGAAACAACCGAGUGUCCCUCACAUCUGGGCUGGAUUUCCUACAGCGGGCCAACACCAGAUAACGUCUGGUCAAUUUGCUUCUGGUCCAAAAGCCUGGACUUUAUUAAGACAUUGUUUAAAAUUUAUAUUUAAGAAUCUCUCUCCUCCUGCUGUCGCCUUCUGCCCAGCGGGAGUGGACUCGGAAAGGUAAAGUGCACAUUCUUGAGGCCCUGAUGUGCACGAGAAAUAAGUACUUUUUUUGGAAUACAAGAGAGAAUAUUUCAGAUUUUUAAGGUAUAUUUAAAUGUAACUAUAAAGACUCUUAUUUCCUUUCUGUGGUGAAUAGAAACCGUGUGGGUGGACAAGAUGUAUAACUGCACACAAUGGUGUGACUGAGUGCAUCACAGAAACACAAGUACCAAAUCUACAUCAAUAUUUAGAGGAGACUUCAGACAGCUUAAGUCAGAAUGAUGACUUGUUUUCUUAUCCAGAAUACUGAAGCUCAUUAGUGGACGAGUAAAUUUAGAUCAUUUGGUUGAGUAAAAGUAACAGUAAGACCGUAAAAAUACUUGAUUUCUUAUUGUAGUCCUGCACUGAAAAUGUUACUCUAACAAAACUACAUAGGUUUUACUCACAAAUUGUACAAAAGUAAAAUAACUGAAUGCAGAGUAGUUAGCCCCUGAGUGUCCUGUCCUGAUUGUUAUGAUAUUAAAUGUAAUAUCACCAGAUGCAUUAACGAUGCGGUAAUGUGCUGAUCAAGGUGGAGCACAUUCGAAUAGUCUUAUUUCCUGUUAGAUUAAAUGUGCACUGUGUAGUUUUGUUUCUCUUGGUUUCACGACUGAAUAAACAAACUGACCUUUAAA